GUUUUGACAGCAAGGUCAGUGAAAAUGUAAGCAUACCGAGGACUGAAAUGAUAUCUCGUUAAACUUAUUUCAAACAUUUAAACGGCGAAAAUAACUACGCUUUAGCUGCUUAAUAUCUGAAUUAUAGUAAGAUCAAGC
rnacentral:sRNA from 1 species